rnacentral:rRNA from 1 species
AUUGAACGCUGGCGGCAUGCCUUACACAUGCAAGUCGAACGGCAGCACGGGAGCAAUCCUGGUGGCGAGUGGCGAACGGGUGAGUAAUAUAUCGGAACGUGCCCAGUCGUGGGGGAUAACGUAGCGAAAGCUACGCUAAUACCGCAUACGAUCUAUGGAUGAAAGCGGGGGAUCGCAAGACCUCGCGCGAUUGGAGCGGCCGAUAUCAGAUUAGGUAGUUGGUGAGGUAAAGGCUCACCAAGCCAACGAUCUGUAGCUGGUCUGAGAGGACGACCAGCCACACUGGAACUGAGACACGGUCCAGACUCCUACGGGAGGCAGCAGUGGGGAAUUUUUGGGACAAUGGACGCAAGUCUGAUCCAGCCAUUCCGCGUGCAGGAUGAAGGCCCUCGGGUUGUAAACUGCUUUUGUACGGAACGAAAGGUUUGUCUUAAUACGAUGAGCUCAUGACGGUACCGUAAGAAUAAGCACCGGCUAACU